GACGAACGCUGGCGGCGUGCUUAACACAUGCAAGUCGAACGGAAAGGCCCUGCUUGCAGGGUACUCGAGUGGCGAACGGGUGAGUAACACGUGGGUGAUCUGCCCUGCACUUCGGGAUAAGCCUGGGAAACUGGGUCUAAUACCGGAUAGGAGCCAUUUUUAGUGUGAUGGUUGGAAAGUUUUUUCGGUGCAGGAUGAGCUCGCGGCCUAUCAGCUUGUUGGUGGGGUAAUGGCCUACCAAGGCGGCGACGGGUAGCCGGCCUGAGAGGGUGGACGGCCACAUUGGGACUGAGAUACGGCCCAGACUCCUACGGGAGGCAGCAGUGGGGAAUAUUGAACAAUGGGCGCAAGCCUGAUGCAGCGACGCCGCGUGGGGGAUGACGGCCUUCGGGUUGUAAACUCCUUUCGCUAGGGACGAAGCUUUUUGUGACGGUACCUAGAUAAGAAGCACCGGCUAACUACGUG
rnacentral:rRNA from 1 species